GGCUCGGUGGUUUAGUGGUAUAAUACUCGCUUAGGGUCACACCUUAACGCACUGCAUGCGAGUGGUCCCGGGUUCGAUUCCCGGCCGAGCCC